AAGUUAUCAGAAGCCAUCAGAUAGUGAAGAGAAUUCAGGGCAAUCUUCUGGACAGACCUGGAGGCACCCUAAUGUUAAUAGUUCUUCCGAUUGUUUGGUUACCACGUCAGUUCAUGUUUCUGGUACAAAAACAUCACCACAUAAGCUGGGAUUUGAUUUGCAUAAUCCUCCUUCCCCUCCAGCAUGUAAUACAUCAUCUGGACCGACCUGGAGACACCCUAAUGUUAAUAGCUCUUCUAAUUGCUUGGUUACCACGUCAGCUCAUGUUUCUGGUACAAAGACAUCACCACAUAAGCUGGGAUUUGAUUUGCAUAAUCCUCCUUCCCCUCCAGCAUGUAAUACAUCAUCUGGACAGACCUGGAGUCACCCUAAUAUAAAUAGUUCUUCCGAUUGCUUGGUUAACACACCAGCUCAUGUUUCUGGUACGAAAACAUCACCACAUAAGCUGGGCUUUGAUUUGCAUAAUCCUCCUUCCCCUCCGGCUUGUAAUACAUCUUCUGGACAGACCUGGAGACACCUUGAUAUAAAUAGUUCUUCCAAUUGUUUAGUUACCCCAUCAACUCAUGUUUCCGGUACAAAAACAUCACCGCAGAAGCUGGGAUUUGAUUUGCAUAAUCCUCCUUCCCCUCCAACAUGUAAUACAUCUACAUGGCAGG
rnacentral:lncRNA from 1 species